rnacentral:rRNA from 1 species
AUUGAACGCUGGCGGCAGGCUUAACACAUGCAAGUCGAACGAGUGGCGGACGGGUGAGUAAUGCUUGGGAAUCUGGCUUAUGGAGGGGGAUAACGACGGGAAACUGUCGCUAAUACCGCGUACCAUAGGAUGAGCCCAAGCGGGCUUAGGUAGUUGGUGGGGUAAUGGCCUACCAAGCCGACGAUCUAUAGCUGGUCCGAGAGGAUGACCGGCCAAACCGGGACUGAGAAACGGCCCAGACUCCUACGGGAGGCAGCAGUGGGGAAUCUGCCGCAAUGGACGAAAGUCUGACGGAGCAACGCCGCGUGAGUGAUGACGGCCUUCGGGUUGUAAAGCUCUGUUAAUAGGGAGACGGUACCGAAAUAGAAAGCCACGGCUAACUACGUGCCAGCAGCCGCGGUAAUUC